rnacentral:lncRNA from 1 species
GUUUAAUUGGGAACUUGAACAAUUAGAUGUCAAAACAGCCUUCUUGCAUGGGGAAUAGGAUGAGGACAUCUAUAUGUGUCAACCUCAAGGUUUUGAGGAAAAGGAGAAAUCUGAUUAUGUUUGUAAAUUGCAGAAAUCACUGUAUGGACUCAAACAAAGUCCAAGACAGUGGUAUAUUCGGUUUGACACAUAUGUUGUGAAAAUUGGUUUUAGGAGAAGUGAGUAUGAUCAUUGCUUAUAUUACUAUAACUCCAAACCUGGCAGCGAGAUAUAUCUACUCUUGUAUGUAGAUGAUAUGCUGCUGGCCAGUUCAAGCAAAGCUGAAAUAAAAAGAAUGAAGAACCUCCUAAAAUCUGAAUUUGACAUGAAAGACUUAGGGAAUGCCAAGAAAAUACUGGGAAUGGUGAUAACUAGGAAUAGACAAGAAGGCAGGUUAAUAAUAACCCAAGAGUCUUACCUACAUAAAGUUUUAUCUAAGUUUGGCAUGAAAGAAGCUAAGUCUGUUAAUGUUCCACUUGCUGCUCACAUGAAUCUCUCAUCAGCCCAAUGUCCUAAAACUGAAUCUGAGGCCAAAGACAUGGAAAAUAUCCCUUACUCCAAUGCAAUAGGAUCAGUAAUGUUUUCUAUGAUAACAACACGACCUGAUCUAGCAUAUUCAAUCAGUUUUUUAAGUAGGUUUAUGGAAAACCCGGGGAAACCACAUUGGGCUGGCUUAAAAUGGCUAUUACGGUAUAUAGCUGGGACACUAAGUGUAGGACUAGUGUACAAAAAGGGAUCAGAACCAUUAACCCUUAAAGGGUACGUGGAUUCUGAUUUUGCUGGAGAUAAGGAUCAAAGAAAA